GCGGGGGUGCCGGAGUGGUCAAACGGGCAGGGCUUAGGACCCUGUGGCUUAGUGCCUGCGCGGGUUCGAACCCCGUCCCCCGCA
rnacentral:tRNA from 1 species